rnacentral:lncRNA from 1 species
UCGAGAUAAACAAGACGCAUUCUAUCACAAGCCGUUCCCGCCAAGAAAAAAAGUGUAGCACCGAUAAAUCCAUGAGAUAAUAUUUGUAAAAUAGCUCCAUUUAGUCCAAUGUUGGUUAUGGAACCAAUUCCUAUAAUUAUGAAACCCAUGUGAGAUACGGAGGAGUAGGCUAUUCUUUUUUUGAAAUUUCGUUGACCAAGAGAAGUUGAAGCUGCAUAGAUUAUUUGCACCGCUCCUAUUAUUACCAACCAAGGGGAAAAUAGAUAAUGAGCAUGCGGUAACAAUUCCAUAUUGACCUGAAUCAAUCCGUAUGCUCCCAUCUUUAAUAGAAUUCCGGCUAAAAGCAUACAUGUACUGUAAUGCGCUUCCCCAUGGGUAUCUGGUAACCACGUAUGUAAAGGUAUAAUCGGCAAUUUGACAGCAUAAGCAAUAAGGAAGCCAAAAUAUAGUUUCAUACAGAGGAAAAAGUUCUCUAUUGAUGCAAACGCUGUACCUAGAGGAUAGGGAUAGAGGAAGAGGGAAAAUCGAAAUGAAAUAAAUAAAGAAUAAAGCCAAAAAAAUAAGUCGAAGAUAGAAGAGCCCAGAUUCAAAAUGAAGAAAUGGAAACUCGAAAAGGAUCCUUCUGAUUCUCAAAGAAUGAGGGGCAAGGGGAUUGAUACCGAGAAAGAUUUCUUCUUAUUAUAAGACGUGAUUUGAUCCGCAUAUGGAUGUUAAUAGUAAGCAAGAAGAUUGUUUAUGAAGAAACAACAAGAAAAAUUCAUAUUCUGAUACAUAAGAGUUACAUAGGAAUCGAAAUAGUCUUUUAUUUUCUUUUUUCAAAAGAAAAAUGGAUUUCAUUGAAGUAAUAAAACUAUUCCAAUUCGAAUAAUAGUGGAGAAAGAAUCGCAAUAAAUGUAAAGAGGGAACAUCUUGAAUCCGGUAUUCAAGGAGUUGAACCAGGAUUUCUAAAUGGAUAGGAUAGGGUAUUUUUAUAUGUGAAAGAAGUGUAUCCACGGCUUCUUGUACCAAUUUUUCCUGGCACAUUACUAAAUCUGCUGGUGCUAAUUCACUUAUUUUUAAUAGAUAGGCAAGGUUGUUGUUCCGACGGAUAACUCUCUUAUAAAGUUCAUUAAUAUCUGAAGUCACUACUUUAUCCCCAGAUCUAUAAACAAUGGGUCUCAAUUCGGGAGGAAGAACCGGUAAUAAGCACAAAACCAUCCAUUCUGGUUCUACAUUUGUUUGAAUAAAAUGUUUCGCCAAUUGCAUGCGUCUAAUCAAAAAAACUUUUCUUAUUCGUCUUUUUCUAUCUUCCCAUUCAUCUCCACUAUACCCAAUGUCUUUUCUGCACAAAAGAACCCCUCCUAAUUCACUAAUUUGUAUCCUAAUUCACUAAUUUGUAGGAAGAUACUGAACUUUUGGAUUCCUAAUUCACUAAUUUGUAGGAAGAUACUGAACUUUUGGAUUUGAAAAAAGUUUCAGAAGAUAUAUCUAAAGUAGAUGGUGAUUGAUAGAGCAAUUCUUGUUCGUAAGUUCCAGUGUGAGUACUGCGCCGAACAUAAUAACGGCUGUUAAUUAGUAAGACAUGCUGUGUAAGUUUCUUACAAGGGUCAUUUAUUUACCGCUGGAGGUAAUAUCGACACUUUUAGGCAGUGCACACAAGUAAAGCCACUCGCAAGUGCUGUAUAUAUAUACGUACUUUUAGGAAGGAAAACGUAGCAGCAUAAACAGUACACGGACCAAGUUACCGUAUCACACGUACAAAUUCACCCCACAAGUACAGGAAACUGUCCCUGUCCCUGUCCCUGUCACAUGAUCAAAGGGUAGGGACACUUAUUCAUGGGUUUAUCUUAUUAUCUAUGGAACGCUGAAGAGUACGGCUUUGACGCGCCAGCACAGCACAGCACAGCCACGUAUAGGCGCCGCUCAGUGCUGUCCGGGCAGCUUCUCCUUGAUCUUGUCCAUAAUGCCUUUCUUCUCGCCGGUGCCCUCGGUGCCGGUGGCGUAGGCGCCGCCGGUGUGUCCCUGCUGCCCGUAGGCGCUGCCGGUGUGUCCCUGCUGCCCAUAGGCGCCGCCGGUCGUCGCCGUGGCGUGCUGGUCGUCCUUGUGGCCUCCGGGCAGCUUCUCUUUGAUCUUCUCCUUGAUUCCCUUCUUCCUCCUUCCGCCCAUGCCGUCGUCCUCCGACUUAAACACGAAACCCACGGAUUAAAUUAAUUGAUUAUUACUAAGCCUAACUCAUGUAUUAUUAUAUAUAGGACGAAGCAGCGCGCACACAAAAGAAAGAAGUAUCCAGAGUCGUAAUUACCGAGCUGGAGCUGGAGCUGCCGGAGCGAUGCAGGAUGCCGCCGGUCUUGUGCUCCUCCCUCGCAGGCUGGAACUGCCCGCCACCCAUGCCAGCGCCGCCGUGCUCACCCAGCUGGCCCAUGCCGCCGGUGGUUCCCGUGCCGUGCCUCAUGCCGCCGGUGCCGUGCUCGACGCCGCCGACUGGGUUGCCGUACUGGUCGACAUGGCCCGUGGCGCCGUGGCCGCGCUGCCCCUGCUGACCGUACUCCAUGAUGCUUGCACGGCUUGGUGGUUUGUGGUUUCUCCUAAACGAGUCUUCGUGCUUGUGUGCUCGAUCGUGUUCUCGAUGUGGCUCGCCGGUGGUGAAGCAGGUGACGGUCGAUGCCGCCAUUUAUAGGCAGCAGAAGUGCAGAACGGCGAAAGGAUUAGGAUCUGGGCGCGCCACGGCAGGGGUGUACGUGGGCAUGCAUGAGUGGAUUGGGCGGCCAGUGAGGGAACAGCACGUACACGUACGCCGGCGGGACGUGUGCAGUCGCUGGUGCCGUGCGUCGGUGGCCCGGCCCGCCACGUCUCGGUUCUUCUCGAAAGUUGGGUACGCGGAUUUUACCGGUGCUCAUCCAUUAUUCAAUGCAGGCGGUCGGUCAGGCUGAAUUUAGGCCCAGUACACCCAAGUGUAGGCGCAGCAGAAAAGUCCAGAGCGAACUGCAUAACAUUUUAAAAUACAUUAAAAUUCAUAAAAUAUAUUAAAAGAAGAGAAAACAUUAAAAAGUAAAAUGAUAAUUCGAUAAUGCCAACUAUUUUAAAACAGGAGGGUAUAGUAUCUCAGGAGUACCAAUUAGGACAUGUUUGUUAAUGCAAUUUUAAAAUACUAUAGUUUUGAAAUAUUAUAGUUUAUAAUUAUAUAUAAUAUAAAUAUUACAGUACUAUCUUAUCACAGUAAAAUCAAAGUAUUGCUUAGAAUUAAGAUUUGUUUGGCUCCAUUAAAAAACCAAAAUAUAUGUAAGAGAAAAGAAAAAAAACUAAGGUUCUAAGUGUAGUUUCUACAACUCUAAAAAUAGUAUAGUUUUGAAUAAAUCAUAGUAUCUGAAACUAUAUUUUACAUAUACCGGCCAAACAUCUUGUUGCCAUCAAUAUCACAGUAUCGUUAAAUAUUGUAGUAUUGAUUCAAAACUAUAAAAAUAAUACACUGACCCUUAGCAUGCACGCAUUGCAUAUGCAUGCAUAUAUGACCGUUCUAGCUGCUCCUUCUGUUACAAGGCAAAUAUAUAUCUCACUUCUUAAAAGACAAACCUUUUAAAUUUAUAAUUAAAAAUACAGAAAAAUAUUAAUAUUUGUAUCUGUAAAUAAAUUUUACAGAAAUAAAUUCUACGCUCAAUCUAAUAAAACUUAUUAAACUAAUGAUUAAAUUAUAUAUGUAUUUUAUGUGAACACUCAAUCUAUACUAUUAAGAAUUUAAUGUAGGCACAUGUGGACCCCACGCCUCCAGCCCCCACGCACCAGCUAUUGUGCUACCCAGCACCUGAUCCUGCCGCGCAAAAAUAGUGCAAAGCGAGUACUUUAGAACUGACCACCAGACCACAUGUACCUUAGUUUUUAAAAAUAAACAAUAAUUAUAUUUUAAUAAAUUUCGCAAUACCUAUUUAUAUGAUAUAUAACAACUCGUAGCAAAGCACGAGCCACAACUAUCUAGUAAGCUUAGAGUAUAUAUUCAAGAGCUCCCAAAAAAUAACUUCUAAAAACAUGUUUUUAAUAGCCUCCUGUAAUUUAUUAGGAGAUGAUUUUGACCUUGUCUUCAGCAGUUCUCCUAAAAAUAGGCGUAAAAUAUUUUAAACUGGGUAAUAGAUGAGCCUCGAACCUAUAUUGAUAUAUUUUUAUCACCGAGGAAUUGUUUACCUUGUGCAGCUUGCCUGAGACCUAACGUGCGCCGCCACCGAGUCUACACUACCAUGUAUGACUUGUCUCGAUUUGUGUACCAGCACGAUGUCAAGGGUGAUGGCAGAGGCGUAGAGCAUGUUGGGCACCUUGCCCAAGCCAGGGACGCCCUCCGUCGGCCGCUUGGUCGCCAGCGCUAGCGCCGGCGCCGCGGCGGCACCGCCACAGUAAUGAACAACUUCAUGUUGAUCGAGCAUCGCAAGUCUCGGCGGCACCGCCACAGUAAUGAACAACUUCAUGUUGAUCGAGCAUCGCAAGUCUCACGCAAUACAUAUUGGACACCUUGCUUUAUUCCACCUGUUUGACGUAAUGCAGCCAUGGGGUAUUGCUUUUUACAUAUGAAUUGAGGCUCUUUGUUGCAACAGGAAAUCGAUUCGUCCUCUGUGAUGAAGGUGAGUCGAUGAUCAGUUUCUUUUGGGAGGGUCACAAAUUUUACAUGAAUAUGUCAACAAACCGAAACAUGGUUCUAUCCCUGAUCAUCAAGUCGUUCGUCGUAAGAGAGAAUUAGGACACUGUAGAUUAUAUGAGGAUUACUUCUCAGAUGAUCCAACAUACAUACCAUAAUUCUUUAGACGGAGGUUUGUUAUUCAUUCAACUCAUUUUUUUAUUUAGUAGUGCCAUAUCUGAUAUAAUACCAAACUAGGUGAGUGCCCGUGCGUUGCGACGGGAGUAAAAAAGUUUGUAUGAAACAUAGAAACGGAACGAUAAACAUCACUAUGAUAUACAAAAUCUGUAUGUUAAACAUUAUCAAUAUCACACAAAUUAUUUCUAAAGAUCGGAAAAGGAGAAACAAAUAUGACGACACUCUUUCUCCUAAAUAUUUGCAAAAUAUCUACCAACUAACCUUUUCUAAGAUCCCAAACACAAUUUCAUUUCACUUUUCCAUCAUCUCGGACCUUGUGUGCACAAGGAGGUAAGGGCCUUCCGAGCAUCAAGUCUCACGCAUGAACUUCAAAGGAGCAGCAACCAUAAUUAAGAAUAGUGAGGAACAAAGGACCAGCAUUCAUAUUUAAGAACAGUGAGGAACAAAACAUGAUUCAACAAAAAAUUAAAACAGCCUCAGCGAGUCGAGCCAUCUCGUAAUGGCGCUUGUCCUUGAUGUCCAGAGAAUAUUUCAUUUAGUAAUCUGUUUUCUUGAAUUCUUAUAACUAUGUAGCCAGCCUAAUAAAACAAGUAGGCAAAACCUUCCCAUGUUUUAUGUUUAAUAAUUAUGACCACAAGUCACAACAUCCACUUUUUAUUAGAAUCAUGUAGCUCUGUAUUAAUGAUGUGACAUGUAUAUGCUUGGAUGACACUGCAGUCUAAUCCUUGUGGCAUGCUGACAACACCUGGGCAAAGUCUUCAAAUCUAAGAAUUCCAUUGUGUUUUGUAUCAAAUAAGUCAAAUACCUACAAGAAAAAUGACAAUGGUUAUUACGUGACUCUUUUUCAUUGGACAAGUUAGUGACAUAAGAACACAACAGGCAUAAAUGAUUAUUUGUAUUAAAAGUUCUGAUUGGCAGACCUGUAGUAAAGCAAAGAAUAUGUGUGUUCAUGUGGAUUGAAUGCAAGUGAUUAUAAGUAUGAACUGUGUAGGCAUCUCUAUGUAAUCUGUUAGAAUACUAAGUGCUACAACGACCCAUCAGUUUUACUAAACCUACUCCAUUCUCAGCACUCACGUGAGCUGAAUCAACGACGAUGUCAUGUGAAUUAAUCCAGAUCGGUAGAACUUCCAAGCAAAGAAAAUAGCCAAAGGGUCAGAAAUAAAAAAAGAGGAUUCUGCGUACCUAAACCAAUCGAUGAUGCAGAGACAGCUCUCACAGGGAGUUAAGUGUGGACGAAGUACAGGACCAGGGCUGAUAUGUCUCCUGCAGCCAAGGAUUUCUGGCUUCCACUCUUUUAUCCCAUUACACUACUAGCUAAAGAAUUCAAAGACACAACAAUCAGUUCCUCUUAUUUUCUUAUUUAUUGCCACCUUGGCAGGAUCAGUCAGCGAUGAAAUCUUGCGUUCCAAGAUACAGUCAGACAUAAUAAAGCAGUAAAAUAGGUGAAUCUAAAACACAUAAGUAAAUAUUGCAAUACUUGGCUGGCGAAGCGAGGUUGUGCCAGGAAUCCAUACAUUCUAUUAGUUUGACAACCAUAAUAAACACGGAGAAAGAUGAACCCGCAAACUGGAAAGUAUAUAAACUUGGGAAGACAGCUGAGAAGAAACAUAUAUAAGUAUUGUUAUUCCAGUUAGAAAGUAAAAUCAACCCUCAAUGAUUUCUUUAGAAAAAACAGCAUGGCACAAGGAUUUGUUGCUACUCUCUUUACCUUUUUCAGUUUCACAAUUGGAACAUUAAUAGAUGUGGCCAGUGACCCAACUUCCUAUGGCCACACAUGACUAAGGUUCAACUUCUGUCACCCAAACUUUGAAAAUGAAUUUCUAGAUAUUUCUUGCAUUUCGCUCAUGAGCCAUUGGAUCACUCAUAACAUCUAUGAAGUCUCAACCAAGGCUAAUGAUGUUCACUACUGUAGAUGGGAGGUAAGAAAAAUAAAAAAUUGUAGGACUUGCAUUAGAUGCAAAUCUGAUCUAAUAUAAUUUAAAGCAUGACUAAUCAACUAAAAAGAACAAAUCAGCAGGAAAAGUUCACUGAUUUCUAAAGAUAAAAAUGAAAAUUUAAGCAGUCAGCUAAUAGUAUAAGUAAUCUCGGUUUGGACCUUUCAUGUUCAUCUGAACCUGAGACCACCAAAGGUAAACUCCAAUCAAAUUCAUCUUCAAGAAUAAGUUUACUCUUGAGCAUUGUCUUGUGUUUUGUAUCCCAAUGUAUCUUAUCAUAGAAACGAUCAGGUUAACAUGUUCGAAUAACUUGACAAAUGCAGUGAAAUACAUAAUGAACACAUCAGCCAAUCGAAAAUGGGAUAGUCUCAUGACAGAGAGAAGCAUUAAAACUGGUACACCGGGCAAAUAUUAGAUACCUUUGUAGGCAGUUACAGUCAGGGAACAAUUGCUAAGUAGCAUCAUCUCCUGCCAAUCAACUUCAAUCCCGUUGUAAUCCAGCCACACCCAUCCUUGUCACGUUCCACCUGAUAAAUCGCCAUGACACAAAUGCUUACCUGUUGGCCAUAACCUGUGCUGCUUAUGGCGUCAGAAGCAUCCAUUCCAUUAUUAUAUUUAUAUUAUAUAUGGCAUCAAUUUAUAUCCGCAUAGAAAUUUGAAUUAAAGAGAUGUAGCAAGGUACCUAAGCCCAGCAGGGGUGACACAGAAUCAGUGCAGUAGAGUUCGGAGUCUUUUGUCAACUCUGGUGAAACAGAACAUGUGUAUCAUAACGUAAGAAAAAAGAUCAUCUUCUGCACCAAACCAAUCAGCUCUUGGCUCAAAUAUAGUGAAAAACACUCCACUAAAGCUAAAUAAACUAAAGAACUGCAUCCAUAAAUGUUUCAUUCAAAUAAGAAAUACUUGAAACAUCUCAUCUUCAUGCCCACGAAACAAGAAACAUCAGUUUCAGGGAUACAAAACAUAAAUGCACUCACCGCAUACAAAAUUUCAAGUGACAUAGUGAAGCUUAUGUACCAAGACAUAACAAGUUACACAUUUGGAGGGGGGCUUGUGCUUUAGGAAUAAGAAACAAAAAGAACCAUGAGUCUGAAUAUGUGGCUAUUACUUCAGGCAUAUGUAAACCUCAAAUAGAAAAUAGAACACAAUAUUUUUCAUAAUCUUGACGAACCAAACCAGAAUCAUUUAACUCAAAAUCACGGCAUAGAAGAUUUUGAGUUUUUUAUCACACCAGAUAAAAAUCAUGGCAACGAGAAAAAAGAUGAACAACUAUUAGUAGGUUAUGGCGCUAUUCUAAAAAAGAUUAAGAACGUACCUAAAAGAAGCUUUAGAAAAACUGAGUGAGAUAUCAACUUACCACAUUUGCCUCAUAGGGUUGUUCCUUCAUAUCUUCUGCCCUUAAAUACUCUAACUCAUUGACAUUGCAACUGGUCAGUCUCACAAUUCCGGCCAUAGGAUCUUGCUGUCAAAAUAAUAGCAUGGCCUAAGAACAGAUCUUAGCUAGAUGUCCACGUCUGACGCUGACACUUGUGCAUCAGGUGAAUCAAAAAAAAGAUGUGAAAUCAAAUGAAGGAACAAAGCUCAGUUAGAUGAGAGUUUCACUACAUAGAACGUAGAGAAUAGGUUCAAUUUAAAGGAACAGAGUUUCUCUGCAUUUGGAAAAGUUAAAAGGGGCGAUGACUGACGAUUCUUCCUAGCCACGCUACAGGAACAUAGAAAAAUAUAUAUGCCAUCGCACUCUCCUCUUCUUGGUCCUUGUGCUUCUCUCCAGAUCCUCCCCUCUCGUCGUUGUCAUCCCACCACACCAUCGUCCUUGGCACUGCAGUCGUCAUGCUGCAGCAGCGCGGUGGCAAGCCUCGGGGAGCUCGACGACGAGCUGGUGUCUGAGCUGCCCAAGAACCUCCACAAAGAGAAUUGAAGAAGAAACAACUACAUACACGCAGAAGACGAUAUGAACCUAUGUGGGGUCAGCAUGAGCAUGAACAUGUGUGUUAUCUGAACAUGUGUGUUCUGGAACCACGCUUCCACCUGCCUAGCGCUGAGAUCCACUUGUUGUGCGAGCUGCUUCCAACUGCUGCUUCCAAUCUGUAAGUAGGGCUUCAUCCUGUAAAUUAAAUUCUUUAGGUCAGAAAAUAUUAUUAAUAACAACCAAAUGAGUGUGACAAUAGAUAUAAUCACCUGUGGAAGCUAGAUCAAAAUUUUGUUUGGGAAAAGUUUAUUUAGAUGUUUCAUUGUUUUCGGACUUUCUUUGCUUCUUUCAUGCAACCUGCUACCAAAGCUAUCCUGCAUUUUCAAAAAUCAUAUUAAAUUAAAACAGUGCAAAUCAGGGAAAUAAAGUCAAUAUCAUGGUUCAUCAAAUUACCAAAAUUUUAAACAUGUACAUACAAAAAAAACCAAGAAUAAAGAGUAAGAUAAGGACUUUUUAUCGGGAAAAGGUCAAAAAGAGUCUGGCUACUACUGGCAAACUUCGUGAAAAGAAAACCUCCAGGAUGUGCCUGCAAGAAGCACUUCACCCAUCUUAGCAAACUUUUGCUAUAAUUGGAGGUAACAUGAGAACCCCAGGUGUGGGAAAUGGAAAAUAACAGCAAUGCAAGGAAAAAAUAAAUAACUCAGCCUUGUACAUAUUUAUAAAUCAUCUGUGUUGCCUUUCCCAUUUGCUCCUAGAGGCACAUUGCCCAUACACCAAUCAUCUGUGCCAAAGGAAUACGAUAGCAGCACAAUCAGUUCAUGAAUCUCAUUAAUGUCUUGUUGGUUUGGAAAAAAGAGAGCACAUCAUAUGAUUGCAACUCUAUACUUGAAACAUAGACUUCAUUACUAAAUCAUGAUUAAAGCUCAGUGCAAUGUUAUUCACAAUAGUGGUGACAAUAAUUGAUUAGUAAGCACCAGUUUUACCUCUCCAAACAUCUAGCUCACCUCCGACGAGGUGAUGAAAUCCCCUAAUUCCUAAACAUGUGUUACAUGUCCACCAGCUACGAUCAUGAGGACAUGGUAAUGGCAAUUACUAUUUUGAACAACAAAAAUUGUUGCAUAAAUAAGAGUUGCAAAAGAAGUUGGUCCUGCACAUAGUUGAACCAAAGAAUAAAAAGUACAUAACCAAAAUAUGUUCUGUUACUAAUGUUACUGGCCACUAAUAUUUUUCUAUGAGUUUAAAGACUGCACAAAUAGGCUACAAUAAAGAAGUAUUCAGGAACUUAAGGGAUUCAUAGAGAAUUCAUGCAAGUAAACUAAUUCAAAUAAAUCAUGUUUCAAAGAGAAUUCAUGCAAGUUUUAAACAAGUCUAAUACACAUUACAGUUUUGCACAGGUUUCGCCUCAUCCUGUUUACAGAAAAGGAUCCUAUUUUCUAUCUCUGUGAUUAAAUUAAUGAUAUGAAAAUGGAGAAAACAUUAAUGUAAGAGUUCAGGGUUAUUAAGCAUUGAAUGGAUCAACUAAAGAUAUGUUACUUGUUGGCUUAAACACCUGAUGUAGUUCUUGCUAAAUUUCUCAAAACAAAUUGAGAAUUUCUCAAAAACAAAUUGAGCCCGCGAAGAUGCUUGGUUGCCCCCACCUGUAACUGUAUUUUCUGGUUUGUCAACCAUUUCCUAUUGCAGUCAAUUUCACACAAGAAUUUGAAAACCUAUAGAACCCUAGCAUGACAAAUAAGGAAAAUGGCAAGCUGCUUCUCAUGUUUUUUCUCCUUGUAACCUCUCAGCACUACUUUCUUGAGGUGAUGGCUGAGGCACUCUAUGCGAACUUCUAAUCCAUCAUGGUAACUUCUGUGCAGGCUAUUCAGUAACAAACCAUAGAGAUAAGGACAACCGAAAUCAAAAAAGAUGGUUCAUUAAUCCAAACACUCAUUAAUGUAUACCAGAGAAACAUGGAAUAAUGCGUGGAUUAGAAGCCGACAAGAAAGAAAACUUAUCAGUCUUUCACUUGUGCCUCUCCAGCCCCAUGCCUAUCUUCUGUUAAGAAGGAUGCAGUCCUGUCAUCAUUUCCCCUUCUCAUCCCACAACUUUUUAAAAUUUUCAAUAUCACCACUUCUCACAUGAUUCUACCACACGCUCAAAACCUUGCAACAGAAAUACUCAUGCACAACCCAAGAGUAUUGAUGAGUGAAAUACAUCUAUAAAUCUCUCGUAUGCUAGUAAUUUGACAGUAUCCAGGAUCAGCGUGCCUCUAUAUUGUGUCCCUCGCUCUGUCCUUCACUCAUCAAUACUCUUGGGUAGCUACAGUAUCCUGAUGUUGCUACACCACAAUAAUUGUUAGGACAGUAGAUUACAAGAUGAGAAAAAUAAUAUUUAGAUGGCACCUGCGAUUUUGAGCGUGUGGAAGUGUGCUGUUUUGCUAGGAGAUAGAAUCAUGUGAGAAGUGGUGAUAUUGAAAAUUUUAAAAAGUUGUGGGAUGAGAAGGGGAAAUGAUGACAGGACUGCAUCCUUCUUAACAGAAGAUAGGCAUGGGGCUGGAGAGGCACAAGUGAAAGACUGAUAUGCCUGAAGAUGCAACUGCUCUCACAUAAUCUGUACAUGAACUGAUGAUUUCUCUCUGUUGCCAAUUGGUGUAGACUCUGCAUACCUUGUGUCGGUGUUUUGGGUCCGACCGCACACCCGGGGUUGCCCCUCAAGGUGUUUUUAGGAGUAGGACGGUGUCAACGACUGUAGCAAAAUGGUUCGUGUCGAUCGCACGAGGGACAAUGGACAAGAUUUGCAGGUUCGGGCCGCUUAGAAGUGCGUAACACCCUACGUCCUGGUGAGUAUAUGAGCGUGGUUACAAAAGGGUUCUCUGAUAGAGGGCGCAGAGAGUUUUACGUGGGUGGCUAUGUCAAACAGGGUCGAUCGUUCUGAAGGGGUGCCCCCUAGGCCUUAUAUACUCGACCGUGGGGCAGUACAUGUGGAUAUGAUAGCUACAAGUAGCUGAAAGAUAGUAAACCUCUCGAGUUUAUCCCUACGUAACCCUUGCCGACUUAUCCUCGCAUGGCUCUGUUGCAUGGGGGCUUCAGCGCGGGAAAGUCGGGUCUCUGUUGCGAUUUACUCGCUCGACGUUGUGGGCCGUCUGGGUUUGCUCCAAUCUAGUCUUACGUCUUCUCCGCUUCGUUGAUUGUCUUUCCCCAGGCCCACGAAAGAACGACCUUACGAUUUAUUGGGCCUUUUGGGCCUUUCGUGAGGUAUUUUAUUUCUUUAGUGGACCCGGGGGAUAUCUAUCCCCCACAAGCCCCCGAUCUUUGGGUUGAUUUAGAGGUAAUCAACUCAAAGAUCCAAGGUCCGAAAAAUGACUUCCUGUUGUCUUCUCUUGCUCCGAUCACUCAUUCGACCGAAGUUUAGUUUUGUGCUUGUGCCUUAGAGGUCGGCAUUUUGAAUUGUAGGAUUCUGGACUUUAUUGGGUGCACCGGAGGUGCACCCAAUGGGUGUAGCCCUCGACCUUUGAGUAGAUUUUAGAAGAUAAUCUACUCGAAGGUCUUCCCCAAAGAUUAUCUCCAUUCACGCUCCUGCAUCUCGGUUGAGAAUUGGCCUUUUCAAUCUUGUCCCACGCCUUAGAAGUCGGCGCUAUAUCGGUUUAGAAUGAUAAUCCAUGGGGUGCACCGGAGGUGCACCCAAUGGGUGUCGCCCCCGACCUUCAAAUGGAUUUUUUAAGGAUAAUCCAUUCGAAGGUCUUCCUUUCGUGCCUCUUUGCUGAAAAUCAUCUCUUUCGUUUGUAGAAUUUGGCAUGAAGUUAUUUGCGUUAUGCUUUGGAGGUCAGCAUUAUGUCAUCAAUAUUUUGCUGCAGAGGUCAGCAUAUAUUUUGUCUUUAGCAGCCGAGUUUGCAAUCCAUCCAUAUCUUGUUAGGUAGUGCAAUUUAUUUGCUUCUGCGACUGAUUGGACGUUUGAUGGAUGUUCUCUGUCUAGUCAUUGCAUCGCUUCUGUCGGCCACAUCUUGUACUUUGCUGGCUAUAUUUGGCUUUCCUCUGAUCCUUACUGGUAUCUCAUUUUUGUCUUGAGGUAUUCACUGCGUGCUCUGCACGGAUGUGACCGUUUUGAAAAAUAUACUGAUAAUUCCUGGGUGUCCCCCCCCAAUGGGUGUGGGCAAGGGACGGCUUGGUGCGCUGAGUGUUUUAGCCGGCUGCUUCUGAGUAGUAAUGUGAUGGGACGGCUAGUGUAAUCAUAUCCUUUGUGCUGUUGACUGGAGUCCCAAUGGGUGUAGUGUUGCAUGAAACGGCGUCAGCCGUCUGACGUGUCUUCAGAUGGGUGGGAGUGCUUAUUGAAUGCUUUGCGACUGUUCAGUGACCGCGGUUGGAAGUGAGCGGUUGCCUUUCCCUUCUAUAAAUAACGCACUUGCUCCUCUGGUUUUUUUUUACAUCUCUUCGCCGUUCUUUACUGCAUCCUUCUCCUCCCUUCUAUCUGCUUUCGCCAUGGGCAAGGGUCACAAACGCAAGCGUGAGCCGACUCCUCCAUCGGAGGAUUUUGGCGACUCGGAAUACUCGGAGGAGGAAUUCUCCUCCGAGUCCGAGGGAUCUCCGGCUCCCGUCUCUCCCCCGGCGUCGUCUGAUGAUUCAGACGACUCCCAGGGGAUUGCCGCGGAGGUAUGGACGUACAUCCGGGCCAUCGAGCGCUCCGGGCUCGAGGGCUCGGAUGAGUCCGAGUUCUCCUCGGACGAGGAGGACUCGGACGGCGGCGAGGACGAAGAUGACGACGACGACGACGACGGCGACGACGACGACGGUGGCGACGGCGACGGUGACGGCAGCUACGGCGGCGGGGGCAGCGGCGGCAAGGGCAGCACCAGAGGCGGCAGCAGCACGGGCAGCACCAGGGGCGGCGGCGGCAAGGGCAGCAGCAGCAAGGCCAGUGGCUAAACGCCACUGGUCUUUAGAUAUUAGUAUAGUGUAGUUAGAAUAAUGUAGUAGUAAUGUAGAGUAGUAUAGUGUAGUUUAGUAGUAGUAGUAAUGUAGAGUAGAAGUAGGGAAGCACCAACUCGCGAAGAGUUGGUUUGUAAUUUCAUUAACUUCCCCUUAAUGAAGAACUGUCGUUUACCCCCCUUUUCGAUGACUCGGUGUUGCUUUUUCUGAAUGUUGAACUGUUUCUUUUGAUAUAGUAGAAACAACGUCGAGCGAUGUGAAGGUUGACAUCAGCGUUUUUAGAAGUAACACCAAACAGUCGAACACAAGACCAGCGUUUUAGAGGCAACGCCGAAUGAUAGAAGGUCGGCGUCGGCAUUUUAGAAGUAAUGCCGAGCGAUAGAAUACGAGUUUGGCGUUUUUUAGAGGCAACGCCGAGUGUUUAAAGGUCGACAUCGGCAUUUUAGAAGUAACGCCGAGCGAUUGAACACGUGGUCGGUGUCGGCAUUUUAGAAGUAAUGCCGAGCGAUAGAAUACGAGUUUGGCGUUUUAGAGGCAACGCCGAGUGUUUAAAGGUCGACAUCGGCAUUUUAGAAGUAACGCCGAGCGACAGAAUUUGAGGUCGGCGUUUUAGAAGCAACGCCGAGUGAUUGAAGGUUGACACCGGCAUUUUAGAAGUAAUGCCGAGUGAUUGAACACGAGGUCAGCGUUUUAGAGGCAACGCCGAGUGAUUGAAGGUUGACGCUGGCAUUUUAGAAGUAAUGCCGAGCGAUUGAACACGACGUCAGCGUUUUAGAGGCAACGCCGAGUGAUUGAAGGUUGACACCGGUAUUUUAGAAGUAAUGCCGAGCGAUUGAACACGAGGUCAGCGUUUUAGAGGCAACGCCGAGUGAUUGAAGGUUGAUGCUGGCAUUUUAGAAGUAAUGCCGAGCGAUUGAACACGAGGUCAGCGUUUUAGAGGCAACGCCGAGUGAUUGAAGGUUGACGCCGGCAUUUUUAGAAGUAAUGCCGAGCGAUUGAACACGAGGUCAGCGUUUUAGAGGCAACGCCGAGUGAUAGCCAGCCUCAUGAGUUAUUUUGAGGAUAAUAACCGAGUGAUGAAGUGGCACGUCGGUUUUCUUAGAAAUAACUGUCGGAUGUCCACGUGGCAUGCUGGGGUUUCGGAAAUAACCGCCGGGUGAUGACUGGGCACUUUUUGAAUGAGUAUCUGGCUCAAGAAUAUCCCAUAAGAGUUGCGCUUUUAGCCGCCUUUGCUUUCCGUGCCCUAGUUCUUGCAUUCCCGCAUCUGAAUCUCCUCUGCCACUCGCCUCCUACCCUGCCCGCCAGUGAGAAGCAAGAUGGCGCCCAAGAGAAAAACUGCAAACUCGUCUGCUGCGGUGAUCCCCGCAAUCGACCCCAACAGUCAGUUACCUUUCGCAGGUAACCACAUGUCCGUUAUUUCCGAAACUGAUCUUCUCCGUCUUGUCUCCAUUGGGGUUCUUCCUCCGCGGGAACUCUGUUCUUGGCGGAUUUGCCAUGGGACUACUGUCCCAACCGAAGAUACCCAUGAGUCAGUAGUUUAUGCUCCUUUUCUUCUCCGCGGCCUCGGCCUUCCAAUCUCUCCUUUUUUCCGUGGCCUUCUUGACUUUUAUCAUAUCAACUUGACCCACUUGAACCCUAAUUCCAUUCUCCAAAUCUCCAUUUUCGUUCACCUAUGCGAAGCCUACCUCGGUGUGCUGCCACAUUUUGGUUUAUGGAAGUAUAUGUAUCACUGCCGCCCUGGAAUGGCUGGGGGGCAACAUCAGCUGGUCGGAGGUGCUAGUUUGGAGAUGCGCCGUGGGCGGAAGACCGAGUAUCUUGAGAUUCCCCUCAAAGAUAGCAUUAAAGGGUGGCGUCUGGAGUGGUUUAUAGUUGACAAUUAUGGAAAUUCUCUCCCUUCCCGGUCAGGAAGACAGCCAGACGUUCGCACUCCGAGUUGGACUGAGUCUCCCACAGAUCAGGAAGUUGCCGAGGCAGGUGUGUUGCUUACCGAAGUUAGAUUACUGAAAGAGAGAGGUUUGACUGCCGAAGCUGUGGUCACUGAUUUUGUUUUCAAGAACAUUCAGCCACUGAAAGACAGGGCCUAUCCAGCAUAUCUGUAUCAAGGGCUGGCCGACUCAACUCGGGUUACCAAUAAGAGAAUUCCUUCUGUUGACUUGGUAAACCGACUUGAAACGAUCCUCAGGGGUAAAGUUUCGAAUGUUGGUGCUCCAGUGGCAUACUCGGCUUGGAACCUACCUCCUCCCAAAGCUUUCAUCCUUUUUGUGUCCAAUCCGCCUGUGACUGACAGCAAUUUGGGUCUUAGAGUGUGACCCUCUGCUGAGGAAGUCAGUACUUUGGUUGCUUCGCUCGGGGCAAUUCCUGAUGAUGAACGGCAGGUUUAUUUUGAAGUGCCUCUGAACCCCAGUGAUGCUGACAUAAAUGAUAUGCUGGAUCUAUUAGCUGAGGAUUCGUCCGAUGCUGCUCCUGAUGGUACCUUGGCAGUGGUGCCCCUUCCAGAGAUUGAUACAACUUUGGAUGUCCCGAAACCUGUCAGCACUCGUCCAAAGCGCCCUAGCCGAGCCAGUCAGCCCGAGCCUUCUGCUGAUGAGCAAAAGAAAAAGAGAAGACGCCUCCGGCGAGUAUCCAGCUUUGAUGAAGACGCCGGUACCUUAGCUCCUGCUGCUGAAGGAGUGCCUGCAACCGGCCUUACCGACGCUGACCCCAAUGGGUGCGCUGCUUGCAUUGUUACUGUGGAAGAUGAGGAGGAAGAAGAUGAAGUUCCUUUAACUCGGAAAAACAGUCGGCAGUUCAUCGCCAGUGGUGGAAGUAGUGGAGUUCCUUCUCCUGCUUUGUCUGCCCUUAUUGGUCUGCAAGAACUGUCCCUGGCCAACUUUGAGCAAACUCUGGAGGAUAUGGUCCCAGAGGACUUGUUAUCAGAGCCUGUGGAUGUUGACGCAACUGAGAUCUGCGCUGCCAUGCCUGAUGCUGGGCUGAGGUCGUCCCGUGCCUCGUCGACCUUAGAGCGCGAUCUCGAGGGUCAGGAUGCUGACUUGGAUUGUCCUGGUCCCAUGGAAGUGGCUGAGGGCCUGUCAACCUUAGAGGUGGUUACUGCAGAGAGCAUGGGCCCCAAGAAUGGUGCUGACACAUGCCCAGCCCCCGAGGAUGUCGCCAGGGAUGGCUUAGCUCGGGCGAAGAAUGUAAGCCACUGCCCAGCCCCCGAGGGUGUUGCCGGGGAUGAUCCGGCUCAAGUGGGCAGUGCCAACUGUGUCCCAGCCCCCGAGGGUGCCCGAGCAGGGUCUCCUUCCUGCACUUCCAUGGACGUUCAUGCGGGUUCGCCUCCACACUCUGGCUGCAUGGUUGUAGCCCAAACUCCGGACCUGGGAGUCGCUUUAGAGGGCAGCGUCCCCGCUGAUCUGGCAUCUGGCUCUGUUGAAGGCACUGAGCUGAUUCCUACUGGUCCGUUGCAAGCUACUUCGGAUGGUGGUCUUGCACCUGGUUAUGAGCUGAUCUCUCCUGAUUUGGGGAUCUCUUCGUUCUUUUCCAACCUCCAGGUACUGUGCUGUGCUUUUAGCUUAAUCUUUACGUUGCAUGAAUUUUUGUCAUUAUGCUCAUCCGUUCUUCUCAUCAGGCUUUGGUUGAUGGGAUGGCCAGCCAGCUGAGAUCGCAGGGUGCUUUCAUCCCAGAAGUGGCUUCAUCUCUUGAGCGUUGGAAUCCGGUGUCGCUUCAUUGUCGUGUAUCCGAGUUGGAGGCAACUAACGCUGGUUAGUGCUCUUAUUCUUCUUCCUUGCCUUUAUUCGUAGAUUGUUUUACCUUCUGACCUCCUUUCGUUUGAUUACCUCUUGAUAGGAAUGACUCGGCAGAUUGUAGCCCUUGAAGAGAAACAUUCCCGAAAUCGAACUGAGAUGGCUCAACGGUGUGCUGACUUCAAAGAGAAGUAUUAUCAGAGCCAGACUGAACUGAAUCAGGUCUCCGCUGCUUUGGAUGACGCCAAUGCUCUGAGCUCUUCCCUUCAUGCUCGGCUUGACUCUGAAAAGGUAACUUACAAAACCGUGCUUUGCCUUAUUACAUGCUUGGAUUCUGAAUGAGUUGAUUUUUGUUUGUAGGAAGAAAAACGUAUCCUUGCUGCUUCCCGUGACAAUCUGGACAGACUAUAUCGUGACUCUAGCAACUCGCUGACCAUCUUGGAGAGGAGCCACCGCUUCACAAUGGAGGAACUGGACAAUCAGCGUUGUAGGCUGCAAGAAUCUGUGGACGAAGUGACCCGCCUUAAGCAAUUGAUGUCAGCGAAGGAUGCCACUGUCAAGGAACUCCGAGCUUCCAGGAAAACCAUUGCCCAGGAGUUGGAGGUUGCUCAGCUGGCCGCUAAAGUUGCCGAAGAAACUGCCGCUACUCUCAGAGCCCAGCGCGAUAAAGCCAUGGACAAGGCUAUUCGUGCUGGACGAAUCUUGAUGAGAAGACCCGGCGUGGUUGUUCCUGAAGACAUAAAGGCUGAUGUGAAUGCUACCCCCGAUUCCUCGAAUCGCCCUUCUUCGUCGGUCGUUCCUGAGAAAAAUAUUGAAAAAUAGGGAAACAUUUUGCAUGCUCUGAGCGCGCAGUUAGCUUGAUCAAACAUUCGUUAGAAGACAUCAGCUUAUCAUUCGAAUGAUAUGAUUACUCCCUUAUUGUAUCAGAAUUUGUUAGUUCGUAGAUUUGUGGUAAUGCUGCGUGAUGAUUAUGAAAUUUGUUCGUGGGAUAUGGAAAUCAUCCCUUGCAUUAUAUAGGUGUGAGUAUGCUGCAUCGGCUUAAGCUACCGCCAACUUUAGCCGAUAGCUCCGUUAGUAGGGUAUAGUGGUCACCCUGAGUUGAGUAAGCGUGAGCAUGUUGCACCGCCUUAAGUCGUCGCCGACUUAAGUCGAUUGCUCCGUUUGUAGGGCAUAGUGGUCACCCCGAGUUAAGUAAGCGUGAGCAUGUUGCACCGCCUUAAGUCAUUGCCGACUUAAGUCGAUUGCUCCGUUUGUAGGGCAUAGUGGUCACCCCGAGUUAAGUAAGCGUGAGCAUGUUGCACCGCCUUAAGUCGUUGCCGACUUAAGUCGAUUGCUCCGUUUGUAGGGCAUAGUGGUCACCCCGAGUUAAGUAAGCGUGAGCAUGUUGCACCGCCUUAAGUCGUUGCCGACUUAAGUCGAUUGCUCCGUUUGUAGGGCAUAGUGGUCACCCCGAGUUAAGUAAGUGUGAGCAUGUUGCACCGCCUUAAGUCGUUGCCGACUUAAGUCGAUUGCUCCGUUUGUAGGGCAUAGUGGUCACCCCGAGUUAAGUAAGAAUGCAAGUCAAUCGUAAACGAACCGAGUAUCUUUGAAAUCUAUCUUUAUUGAUGACAUAUUUCCACUUUACAGAGUACAUGGUCGCCCCGGCUGUUUUGAAAUACAGCUAGGGGUAAAACUUUUUCUGAGGUGCUCUAUGUUCCAGGAGUUCCCAACUUCUGUGCCAUCCAUCUGAGUGAGACGAUACGAUCCGGGCCGAGUGACUUCUGAUACUAUGAAAGGCCCUUCCCAUAAGGGUGACAACUUGUGCCGUCCCUCCCCCGUUAGAAUUCGGCGGAGGACGAGGUCCCCUAUCGAAAAGGAACGUUGCCGCACAGCCUUGUCGUGAUAGCGCCUCAGAGUCUGCUGGUACCGUGCAGAUUGGAUCACCGCAUUCAGUCGUUCUUCCUCGAGUACAUCAAUAUCCUCCAGCCUGGUGGCCUCGGCUUCUGCUAUGCUUUCGAAGAUCAAUCUUGGCGCCCCGAAUUUGAGAUCAGCGGGCAGCACUGCCUCCGACCCAUAGACCAUGAAGAAAGGAGUGUUUCCAUGCAGGGCUCGGCUAGGUUGAGUUCUCAGGCUCCAAACAACAUAAGGCAGCUCUCUUAUCCACUUUCCUGCGAAUUUUUCAUUCUUAUCGAAGACUCUUUUCCUGAGUGCCUCCAGUAUCAUUCCGUUGGCUCGCUCAACCUGCCCGUUGGCUCUUGGAUGUGCUACAGAUGCGUACUUGAUCUGAAUGCUUUUUUGCUCGCAGAAGUCAAAGAAUUCUGAGCUGGUGAAGUUGGAUCCUAAGUCAGUGAUGAUGCUGUUUGGUAUCCCGAAUCUGAAUAUUAUAUCCUGUAUGAAUUCCACGGCCUUAGCAGAGGUCAAAGAAGCAAUGGGCUUGAACUCUAUCCAUUUAGUGAAUUUGUCAAUCGCCACCAGUACAUGAGUAUAUCCCCCUUGAGCUUUCUUGAAAGGUCCAAUCAUAUCCAGUCCCCAGCAUGCGAAAGGCCAGGUUACUGGUAUGGUUUGCAGUUGCUGUGCAGGCAUAUGCUGUUGCUUUGACAAGUAUUGGCAAGCUUCGCAUCUCUGAACUAACUCGGCUGCAUCGCUCUUCGCCGUCGGCCAAUAGAAUCCUGACCUGAAAACCUUCCCGACCAGUGUUCUGGAUGCUGCAUGUAUUCCACAUUGCCCUGCAUGGACUUCCUCCAGAAGUUGUUUCCCGGUGGACGGAAGAACACACUUCAUGAGAACUCCUGAUGCUCCCCUUCUGUAUAAUUCCUCCCCAAUGAGUGUAUAGUGAGCUGAUUGUCUGGCAACGCGCUCUGCCGAGUUCUUGUCAUCUGGUUCUUCUUCAUUCUUUAUAUACUUAAUAAUCGGUUGUCUCCAGUCAUCAGAGUCUGACUUGGGUUGAUCUAUGAUGUUGCACUCUUCUGUUUGAUCCGUCGAGAUGCUCGGCUCGAGAAUUUCUUGCACGAAGACCCCGGGUGGGACCUGAGUCCGACCGGAUCCGAGCUUGGACAGUACAUCGGCCGCCGUGUUCCGAUCUCUUUCUAUAUGAUGAAACUCCAGACCCUCGAAUUUAUCCUCUAGCUUUCGGACGGCGGCGCAGUAUUUUCCCAUUGAAUCACUUGAACAAUCCCAUUCCUUGUUUAUCUGACUGAUGACUACCAGAGAAUCUCCAUACACCAUCAGUCUCUUGACGCCCAAUGAUAUGGCGAUGUUUAAUCCGUGUAUCAAAGCUUCAUACUCGGCUGCGUUGUUAGAGGCCGGGAAUAGCAACUGGAGAGCAUACUUGAGGUGCUCGCCUCCAGGUGCGGUGAAGAGAAUCCUUGCUCCUGCUCCCUGCAGCUUCAGCGAGCCAUCAAAAUACAUUCGCCAUACUUCUGACGUUUCUGGAUUGUCUGGAACUUGCUAUUCUGUCCACUCUGAUACGAAAUCAACCAGUGCUUGAGUCUUGAUGGCAGUGCGAGGUCGGAACUCGAUAUCAUGGGAUCCCAACUCGCAAGCCCACUUGGCUA